GCCUGUAGCACCGGUUGAUCGCCUACAAGACCAGAAGAUGGUCCAUAUCCACUGUAUCGAGAAACCAGAAGUGUAGGAUGAUCAGCCCUAGAAGUUUACUGUCAUUCAUCGGACUUUUCGCAAGAAGGUGCUGGUGUUAUCAGUAAGUCUACCACAGCAGGUAGAAGGUAAAAUAAACAGCUGGUAGAGUUUGUUUGAUCCAUUUUUGAGUAUACAUUUUGCAGGCUCGUUGUAACAGUAAUGGCAGUGCAGCACCAACAAGCUGCAAAGAACAAGCUAGUAUGCAAAAUUCACUUCCAACACUCAAGCACAAAAUCAUUAGGCAGCUGUUCCCACCCAAUUCUACUUCUUUCACCCCUUCCCCCUUUAAAGGACUCUUACCUACACUGCUGUGGCCUUGUAAAGAUAGGUUGAUAGGGAGCUAGGUGGAUAGGUUGGGUUCAGAGUAGGAUUUUGUAGAUAGUAUU